rnacentral:rRNA from 1 species
UACGUAGGGGGCGAGCGUUGUCCGGAAUUACUGGGCGUAAAGAGCGUGUAGGCGGGUGCUUAAGUCAGGUGUGAAAGACCGGGGCUCAACUCCGGGGUUGCACUUGAAACUGGGUAUCUUGAGGGCAGGAGAGGAAAGCGGAAUUCCUGGUGUAGCGGUGAAAUGCGUAGAUAUCAGGAGGAACACCGGUGGCGAAGGCGGCUUUCUGGACUGACCCUGACGCUGAGACGCGAAAGCGUGGGGAGCAAAC